rnacentral:lncRNA from 1 species
UUUAAAUAAUUUAUUUAUGGAUGGCUGUGUCCAUACCAUACUACCACAAACUACGAUGUGAACAAGACAUGGUUUUGAAAAACCUCUAAUAUUAUUCCUUUCCGUUAAGACACACACUUUCAGAAAUAACAUACUAAUAUAAUAUUAUAAGAGACUAGGAAACAUAGUAUCAUAAAUUACCAUGACAUACUUUCUGCAAUAACAUAUUAUAAGUACUAAUUAUCAUGGAGACUAGUGACCAGCCGCUGGGCUGGGAACAGAUUGAUCCAGUCUCCUCUUGAUGGAUGCAAAUGGAUGAUCAACAAGGUUUUUGUCCAUAAUGAAAGCAUAAGCUCCUUCCCUAGGUGUUUUAGUUGCAUCAGGCUCCCCAGCAUGGUGAUAUAGGCACACAAUUUGGUGUGCGGUAUUAGUUUGCUUUUCAUGAAUGCCCGGUGCCUUCCUGCAAUCUGCGGAAGAAAAAGAAAAGACAACAGUAAGAAGAAAUAAAGCCAAAAAAGCUCUUGAACUAGCCAUGUUAGCAAUAUCAUUAGAUUAAUAAAGUGUGGUUUUAUACAUGAAGUUGGCCUUGAAUUCGAGCUAUUUAUAUAGAUAGACGGAAAGAGGGCCAGAGAGUUCUAUCUCUCUACUUGGAGCUGCCGCGUGAAAUACGUGUUAAUUUAAAGGUUAAGGCCGACUAGGUGAGCUUGAAGAGAUAUAUACGUACGGUUCUUAUUAUGUUUUACCAUGACAUGAGACAUCAGACCACCCAACCAUUAGAUAUAGAGAGCUGGAUGUGGCUACCGUGUGCUAAAGGAUGAGCCUGAAAUCGCAAAAUUUGUGAAACUUUGAAUAACAUAUUUGGGAAAAUUCAGUUUUUAAAAUUUUUAAAUGGCAUUGAGUUUUGAAAAUAAUAAUUGAGUAAGAUGAUUGUCAUGAGCUAAUCUGACAUAAGUUUACAGGGUAGAAGCAAUUGUUGUUAUUACAUAUUUUCAGUUGAUUUUGUGAGCUGUCAGGACAAAAGAUUGCAUGUUAUUUCAAAUGCUGAGAGUCGCUGUUAUUGAAAAAUUACUUAUAUUUUCGAGCACACAAUUUGAACACAUGCAAAAUUUGUGAAACUUUGAAUCACAUAUUUGGGGAAAUUGAGAUUUUAAAACUUUUAAAUGGCAUAUUUGAAUAUUUUUAAAUGAACUUAAAAUUAAUUUGAUCAAAUACGUACCAAAUAUUAUUUGAAUUUUGAAAAUUUGAACUGAUGAUUCAAUUAAUAUUAUUAAUAAAUUUUUGUUCCCCAACAUAAGCCUAUUGUUUUUAGUUUUGUUUCUAAAGGAUAAUUUUAAAUAUUUUGAGUUUUAAUAAGUAUAUCAGCUGUUUGAUCAAAUUUUUACUAUUAAAAAUUUCAAAAUACAACAUAAAAAAAAUAAAAUGGUUUUCAUCAAAUGUUACAAAAAAUUAUACUUAUGAUUCUCUUUGUAUUAAGAUUAUUAAAAAAAGGUAUGUCAUAUUUUAUAUUACAAAUGAAUUGUAAUUUAUGCAUAAUAUACCAUUUGACUAAAUUAUGAUUACAACCUUUGUUAUUUGUUAGGAGUCAUAUUCAUGCCCCAUAUAUCUUAAUUUCAUAAGUGUGGAGGUUAAAACUAUGAAAUCCAAACUACGUGAAAAGAUUAAUUUAUAUUUAUAAUAUUUUAAGUUUAAUAAAUCGAUUGUUACUAUUUCUAAACAUAUCAAUAAUAAUCGUUUGUAAUUUAAUACAUUAAUAUAUUAUUAUUUCAAUAUUUAGUUAAGUAAAAGUUAGAUACAUCAAAAUGAAAAUGUUGUGUAAUCAUUUGCUAUUAAAGCAAAAAUAUGGUAAAACAAUUGAUAUCACUUGGCUGGUUUUCUUCCCUAAUCAAUUGUCAAGCACAUCCGUUUACAAAUUACUCAUGAGAAAAUAUUAAUCAGGCCAUAUGAAUUUUUUAAUAUGUCUAAUACAUAAUCCACUAUAUUAAGUAUUGAAAAUAAUAAUUGAGUAAUAUGAAUUGUUGUUAUUACAUUAUUUUCAGUUGAGUCUGUGAGCUGUCGGUACAGGACAAAAGAUUGCAUGUUAUUUCAAAUGUUGAGAGGCGCUGUUAUUGAAAAAUUACUUAUAUUUUCGAGCACACAAUUUGAACAGGUAAAGAUAAAGAUGAAAAUACACAGUUUGAACACGUAAGGAUGAGAAAUAUAUAUUGACGGAUUAUCAAUUUAAAAAUAUUUCUAAAAUAUCACAAGAAGAAUAUUGUUUAUGUUUCUUCCUUUCGUUUAUAUUGUUCUUUCUUGAAUAAUCAUCUCCAGCUAAGCAACAUCUUUGAACACGUAUCUGUAGAAAUCACUCCCCGGCUGUCUUGGUUGAAUAAGCAUUGCCCAGCAUCAUUCAUCAGCACAGUUUUUGUUGAAUAAUUAUUCAGCACAGUUUUUAUUGAAUAAUUGUUAGGAGUUAAGGAUUAUCUAUCUUUUAGCAAUACACAGCAGGGACGAAGCCAGCAAACGUCUGUAAGGGGGGCCAAAAUUUUUUUUCUUCGAUACAGUAAAUUUUUUCAUCAGCACUGUAAAAUAUUCAUUAUAAAAUAAAUACAAAAAUACUAGUAAAAAAAUUAUAGCAGAGCUUUGCGUUCUUUUAAAUCAGGAAAUCAAAUUUAUAAUAGUGUCAACAAAAAUAUUUAACUAUUUCUCUUUAAAUAUAUUUAAGUAUAAAUGGUCAGGAAACUCACCAUAAUAACUCUAAGUUAUAGUAAUCUUUAAUUAGCAAGUAACACACAUUAUAUGAAAUUGUAUUUUGACAAUAUCUCAAAAACUAAAUAUCAUGUUUAUUAUACUUACUCCUUUUCAAAAAAAAUGUUUAUUAUACUUAAAAAAAAUAUUAUACUUAUUUAGAAGACGACAAGUUAUAAUUUAAAUAAGUAAAAAUAUUACCUGGAUGAUGAAUUUAAAUUGAAGAUGAAUAGAUCAAUAUUAAUAUUAAAUAAUAAAUUUAUAAUGCACGAGGACUAACUAUUCUAUGAAAAUGAAGAAGUGAAGUGAGGUAUAAGUUUUUUGGAUAAGACCUCCACCAAAGAUUCUUAUUUUUAAAGAAGAACCAUAUUGACAUUUAUAUUUAUCACAUAUCACAUUUUACGAUCUUUCCUUUUAAAUUAGUAUAAUUGUAUAUAUCUCCAUAUUUUUGUUUAUUUUUAUUUUUAAAUUUGGUCUAAUACAAUAAAUUAGAAAAAUCUAAGAAUUAAAACUUUAUUUUACAAUGUUAAAUAUUUUUUAGAAGCGAACAAAUAUUUUUUGAGGGGGGCCAAAUUUUUAUAUUUAUAUAAAUAUAUAGAUAAAAUACAAUUUUUUUCAAAAUUAUAUAAUAAAAAUUACAAUACUAUGGAAACCCUAGGGGGGGCCAUGGCCCCUUCUGGCCCAUAUGUAGCUUCGUCCCUGAUACACAGUCACCUAUUUUGAAUACGUACAAAUGAGAACAUAACAUUGUUAAAUUAUCUCUUUCUAAAAUAAGUUACACAAAGCAUAUUAGCUAUCAUGACAAUCUAGUGACCACAUUAUGGCAAACUACAGUAAGAGACUUUGUGGAAGAGCAUAUUAACUAUCAUGAGAAAAUAGUGUCGAGUCCCAGAGCUAGGAAUAGAUUGAUCACGUCUGCUCUUGAUAGAUGUGAAUUAAUGAUCGAUCAACAAGGUUUUUGACAAUAACCUAGGCAUAAAACUCUUUCUCUAGGUGUUGUAGUUAAUGCAGCAGGCUCCUCAGCAUGGUGAUAUACUCAGACACUUUCAUGCCCAGGAUUAGUUUGCUUUUCAUGAAUGCUCAGUGCCUUCCUGCAAUGUGUGGAAGAAAAAGAAAAUGCAAGAGCAAUAAGAACAAAUAAAGGUAAAAUUAGAGCGCUCUUGAACUAGCCAUAUUAGCAACAUAAGUGAUUAUAGAUUGAUAAAGUGCGUUUUUAAACAUGAAAUAGACAAUGAAUUUGAGCUAUCUAUAUAGACUAUAUAUACAGAGAUAGAGAGAAAGAAGCCAAAGGAAAUCCAAACCAUACUAGAAAGAAAAUCUAAUUUACAUACUAUAAAGACUGAAUUUAAUUUUGAACUUGAUCGUAUAUGAUACAUCAACAUAUUAUUAUUUUGAUGUUUAGUUAAUUGAAAAAUAAAAACAUUAAAAACAAUCUAAGGUCAUUCACUGCUAGGAAAAAUAGGAGAAUAUGAGUAUAUAUAUUCAUAUCACUUAACGGGUUUUGUUGACUAUCAUUUACGGCUCAUGAUAAGAUAUAUUUAUUUGAAUUGCCAAUAUGUCAAUGACACGUGAUAUUAAAUUUUAAAGUAAUAAAUGAAUGAUAUUAUUCUCAUGAAAUAAUGGUCUAUGAACUAUGAGUUUAAAUAUAUUUUCUCUAAAGUUAAACUUUUAGUCAAAGAUAAGAUAUUGAAUAUUCAUGAAUUAUAUUAGUUAAAUUAAUGAAUUAUUGGCUAGAGAAAAAUUAUAAAAUAUCAUCAAAAUAAUAUUUUUUUUUAUAUUUUUUCCCUUACGUUUCCUUGUUCUUUGUUAAACUUUUCUAAUUUUCUCUUUAGUUGAUUAUAUCAAUAUCAAUAUUAAAUAUAGUAAUAUAGUAACAGGAAACUUCAAUGGCAAACUACUGCAUGUGGCUAAAACCUGUAUGAAUAUUUCAAACUUUUUUGCUCGAUAUGAUACCAAAACUGGUAAUUUAUUUAUUUAUUCAUUAGCGUGCCCAUAUCAUACUACCAUAACUAUCAUGCAAGAUUCUGAAAAACCUCUAGUGUUAUUCAAUUCCUUCCUAUUACAACUCACACUUUGUGGAACAAGCAUAUAUGUUGACUAUCAUGAAAGACUAGUUACCAUGACCAGCACCAGGGCUUGGAACCGAUUGAUCAUGUCUCUUACUGAUGGAUUUUAAUUUCUGAUCAACUAGGUUUUGGUUCAUAAUGAAGGCGUGACCUCUUUUGCUAGGUGUUGUAGUUGCAGCAGGCUCCUCAGGAAGGGGAUGUACGUAGACACCUUCAUGAAUGGUCAGUACCUUCCUGCAAUGUGCGGAAGAAAAAGAAAAUGCAAGAAUAAGAAGUAAAGCCAAAAGAGCUCUUGAGCUAGCCUUAUUAGCAAUAUAUGGUAGAUUCAAGUGUGUUCUCAGCUGAUUGAAGGUGGCCUUGCAUUUGAGCUAUAUAUAUAAAGAAAGAGGUGAAGAAAGUCUAUAUAACUAUUCUUGUAGCCGCCCCGUGAUUAUCAUCUCAAUCUUCUUGGAGUUGAAAUAUGAGCCGUAACAUAUAUGUGUGGGAGAUUGAGCCACCAGGAUAGCUACACUUGCUAGUAUACAUGUCUGUGGGAGAGCGCCACGAGUAUAGCUACAUUACUAUAAAUCUAUAUAAUAUAUGAUUUUCAUAAAUUAUAAAUAUAAUUUUUUAUUAGUAAAUUGUAAAAAUAAAAUUAUACAAAUUUUUUAUUCUAAAAAUCAUUGAAAAUUAUACAAUAUUUUAAUAUGAUUCGGCAAUAGAAUAAUAAAUAUUUUUUUUGCCGGAAGAAUAAUAAAUAUUUGUAAUUAAACAGUUUCAAAACUGUGCAUGUUCUUCGAAUUGUAAAUGUUAAAUUAUAUAUUUUAUAUAGAUACAUAUAUAUACACUAUUUUAUAUUAGAAUCAUAUUUUAUAUUAACAAAAUUAAUGAUUUAUAGUUGUGCAAUAUAGAAUUGCAAAUACUAACGGUCAAGCCUAUAUAUAGUAGGACUAGUACGUCGUAAAUAUUAUGAAGAAAGAAAAAAAUGCUCUAAAGGAAAAAAAAGAAGUAAUUUUAUGAUAUAUGUUAUAAACUUCUUUUACUACACUAAUAAACACAAAUUUUUAUCGUGAAAUAUUAACUAAUUCAUCCAUGAAUAUAGGUUGUUUAAUGGUUCUCCAUGAAGUAUACUAUAUAUCUUACUAUAUGUGUAUUGGGAGUCUGUUAAGUUCUACAGACACAACUAUAUAUAUUUUUAUAGAAGAUUGUGAAGACCAUGUCGGUUAUGUGUUGAAAAUAUUAUAAAAUAUAUUAUAUUAUAAAAUAUAUGUUUGUAAGACUAUUAUUUCAUUAAAUAAAAUUUAUGCAAGUUUUGCGAGCAAAAUUUUGCAAAACAUUGUAAAAUGUAUUAUUCCGCAAAAUAUUUUGUGCAAGUUACAAAACAUGUUCUGAACAUGCAUGAUUAUAUAUGAUUUUUAACUUUUGUAUGUGUGUGUAUAUAUAUCACAUCAAAGUUUUUUGGACAAAAUAUAAUGCAUUUGAUUAAAAAACUGAACAAAACUCGAAACUCAUAAUACAACAUGGUCGAUAAGAAAAUAAAAGAACUAAUUAAAUAAAUAACAAGCUAUGUUUGCGGAUAUUUAAUUGAUUGCCCAACAAACGUGGCGUGCUUUGGAAGAAGCAAUAUGUUACAUAGCCAUCUUAUUGGAUUCUUGAAACGAAAAAAGAUUACAAUAAGCCUCCAAAAUACAACAUACACCAUCCUUUGAAUUUUAGUAUCAUUAUAAGUUAGAUUAUACAUUAUUUUAUUUUUAUGAUAAUCUUAUGUAAAAUAUGUAGAUUCGUUAUAAAUUAGUUAAUCUUAUUACUUAUUUUAAUGCGGAUACAUUUUAAUUAUUAAUUAUAAGAGAAUUAUAUUGGCUCACACGCCCUUGCAAAAAAAAAAAAUUGGCUAACAUGAGGCCAACAGAACUAUGUAUUGGGGAUGUGAUCCAUUCAACUCCGGCCCAAAACCUUCAUAUAUUUAUGGAGAUUUAACAGGUAUUUCCCGACUCGUGAGAGUGCUACAAAUGUGUACAAGUAUUUUAUAAACAAAGCCCGGCCCAUCACAAAUGUGUACAAAUAUUUUAUAAACAAAGCCCGGCCCAUCAAUUAUUUGUCGAUUAGUUUAGUUUAGCUCAAAAUAUAUUAUGUUUAUACACAUUAGCAUAUUUUUUAUUUCAAUAAUUUAAUAAAAUAAUCUAAUUCCCUAAAAAAAUUAAAGAUCCAAGAAACAUUCAGAGGAUGACUUUGAUCCUGGAAAAAUCUAGAAGCUACAUGUUAUUUGGUAUAUCUUUCAUUUUUUUAUAUCAUGUUGUCUUUAAUUUUUUUUAUUAGUUUAUUGUGGCCCACUAAAAUCUAUUGGUGGGUCCACUACUCUAUAUUAGCAUAAAAAAAAUUGAGAACAACCGUUUUCUCCCGAUAGAUAGCUGUAACCACCUCUAUUUAGCUUGAAUUAGUAUCUUAGAUUAUACCAUGAACAAAAAAAAUCUUGGAAACGGAAAUUUAUGAAAUCUAAUUAAAAGUAAUAUUAUUUCACAUUGAAUGCAUUGUAUUAUAAAAACAUAGAUGUUGGUACUAAAAUUUUAUCUCAUUCACAAAUUUUAACUCUAAUACACCCUCCUUCACCAGAUAUAUCAUGGAUGCCCAAAAGGUGCAACACUCUCCAUCCUCCAAUUCCCCUCCUCGUCGAAAUGAAAUCGAUGCACCUGCACUUACACAGAUCCCUGAAAAUAGUCCAGAACCAAAAACUGCAAAGACAUUUCCUUGUCGUUAUUGUGACAAAACAUUUAGUACGUUCAUGGCCCUAGGAGGACACCAGAAGGGGCAUAAAAGGGCUAGGGGUGCACAUGCGGGACGGGCUCAAACUUCUCUUUAUCGACCCUACCCAGCUACAAGUCGUCCCAACAGUGGAUCAGAUUCCAUGGCUAACAAGCAGUCUUAUUUGUCCAUGGAAUCAUCCAGUUCUUCCACCAAUACUUGGCGUCUCCUGCAAGAGUUUUAUGCCAAGAUUCCGGUGAAAUCUGCUCCUCCUUCACUCAAUUGUGUUCCUCCUGCAGCCACUGCAUUGUCUCUUGGAGUUUCUUCUACUCCAAAAACUAGCGAAGAAGUUAAAGAGGAAGAUGCAUCGGGAUUGGAUUUAGAUCUUAAACUCUAGAUUUGGAGUCGGGAGAUCUUAAGAUCUAUUAAUUACCUGUCUUAAUAAAUUUAUUGGAUGCUUUUAUUAUUAUCUACUGAAAAUUUUAAAAUAUUGUUUAUUAGAUGAAUUAUUAUUAUAUAAGAGGCCCGAGUUCUAUUGAGUACACCAAUGGAGUAUUAAAAUAUAAUCUAGUCUCUUUAAUUUUAAAAUAUUUUUAAACAUCCAAAGAUCUGUAAGUUAUGUUAUACAUCACUAACUACUCUAUCAAUUACAUACUCCAUCAUAUAUAUCUUUCCAAAGUGAAUCAAUUUUUUAUAAGUAUAUAUGUCCAGUAAAUAUUCUACUAAUUUGAUGGAUUUAGACUUCAAAAUUUAAUGACCUGCAUAAUCUCUCAUGAUUCUUGAUUCUGACUGAUCUUUGAUUGACAAACUAUGACAACCAACAUUCUCUAAUUUGUUAGAGUAUCUCCAACGGCGUUGGCUAAAUUGAACCGGUAAGAAACUAUGUAAAAUUUGCUGAACCUAUAAGACAUUGUACUUCAAUGGUAUUGGCUAUGGUGGUUGGCUAUAAUUUAAAAAUAGAAUGUUAUUAAUAUUUUAGUUUGGUAAAAUAUAAUAUAUGUAAUAAAUGAUGUGCAAUCAUCCUACAGAUUUCUUACAAACAUGUAGAGGUUCGACAAAUAUAGUCAUCCAUAGGAGAUUGGCUAAAAUUAUAGACAACAAGUUCACGAGGUUGGAGUAUGAUUUUUUCAACAGGUUGGCUAAAUUUUUUAUAUUUGGAAUGCCAACUCAUUUUUUAGCUAAGGGGUUUGUAUGGUUGGAGAUGCUUUUAUAUGCUAAUGAUUCUAACAACCCCCUAUUUUAUGAUUUAUAAAUAGGGAAUUGAUAAAUAAGCUCCAAAGUUUACUAUCAAAGCUCCAAUUCAAUAUUUUAAUUUAUCCAAAUCUCAUUAUCACCACUGAUAUGGAUGAAACAUGUGGAGAAAGCAUGAGUAAAUAUGGUAUAAAAUUUGGAUUUUGAGCCUAAAUAGUAAACCGUGGAGCUUAUUUAUCGAUUCCCUAUAAAUAAAACAUUACUUCUAAACAUUGGUAUCAAAAUUGAGUCCGGAUCCUCUGUCUCCUUUUUGUGUCCCCUUGUGUGUCCCUUAUUUUCUAUUGGUCACUUCCUUAAUUUGCACGUGAAUCAUAGUUUCUCUUUAUUUUUUCUCUGAUAGAUUUUCAUCGUUAAACUUUUUGAAAUUUAUAUAACCUGCAUUUUUAUUAUUAAAAUAUAAAAUAUGUGUAUAAAAAAUAUAAAUUAUGAUUUCAUCCCACAAAUAAUAACGAGGCCCCCUGCAUGCACAGUAAUCUUAUAAUUAAAAUUAGUCUUUUAUAUAAAAUCGGUCAAUUUGUUAUUUAAUAAUAAAUUAAUGUUUUUUAAUUAUUUCAAUGAUAUUAAAAAUAUAAAUGAUAUGUGGCAAAAAAAAUAAAAAAAUAUAAAUUAUGUAAUUCUAAUCAUUAAUAUUUUUUAAUUCUAAUUUUAGCUAAAAAUAUAGUGUGCAUGCAAGGGGGUCUUGUUAUUAUUUGUAGGAUGAAAUUAGUUUAUAUAUUUUAUGCACAUACUUGUUACUUUUCUAGUUUAAAAAAUGCAAAAUUUGGGUAUAUAUUAUUAUAUUAAAAUAAAUCUUAUAUUCAACAUGCUUUUUUAUAAAAAAAUAAAUAAAAUUAAACUAUAUAAAAUAUAUUUUAAUAAUAAAAAUGUAGGUUAUAUAAAUUUGAAAAAGUUUAACGGUGAAAAAACUAUCAGAGAAAAAAUAAAAAAAAAACUAUGAUUCACUCUGACCAACCAAUAGAAAAUAAGGGACAUACAAGGGGACACAAAAAGGAGAAAGAGGAUCCAGACUCAUCAAAAUUAUGGAACAAAAGCUAAUUAUACAAAUGACUAGACUAAGUAUAAGACCAAUUUACAUAUAUAUAUAUAUAUUUAUACUACCAGUAUCAAUGUCUAAGAGUCUGCUGGAAUCUUCUUAAAAUAGUUAAAACCUUUGAUGAAUUUAUUGAAAAGAUGAAAAGAUCUUCUCUGGCAUCAUCAAGUGAUCUUGCUGUUUUGAUUUUCUUCCGAUUCCUCAGUCGACUCAUCAAUAUCAUAGAUAGUUGAUCCCAAAAAAUAAAAAGAAGUUUUUUUAUUAAGUCUUGUUUCACUUGAUAUACUACUGCUAAGCCAACUUCACAAUUAUAUGAUACUGCCCUUUUUGGGAUGAAUCAUACUGGUUUAUUUUUGUUCUCCCAAAAAUCCUCCUUCACAAUUAUAUGAUACUGCCCUUUUUGGGAUGAAUCAUACUGGUUUAUUUUUGUUCUCCCAAAAAUCCUCCUUCACAAUUAUAUGAUACUGCCCUUUUUGGGAUGAAUCAUACUGGUUUAUUUUUGUUCUCCCAAAAAUCCUCAUAUGAAAUAUUUAUCAGGCUGUUUAUAUUCUAAUAAUUUGUCCCUCCCACAACAGAUGUAGGACAAAUCCUAACAUUCACUCUAAGUAUAUGACAUGUUGCAGUUCUUUCGAAUCUUUCAUCAACAAUUAUUGCUCAGUUAAUUAGUUUAAAGAUUUUGCAAUCCUGAAGAAAGCAUAGCAUCUUCACCAUACAUGUCGUUUUCUUAUAGAUUUCAAGAAUUAUCAUUUUUAGCCAAAAAUUAUUAUAAUAAACCAUUAUAGUCAUCUAAGAUGUUGGGAUACUUUUCAGCCAUAACCAUGUUUUUUUUCAAAUAAUCACACCAUCAAUAAUUUCUGAUUGCACCAGCUCUCUUCAGGGAAGUAUUCUUGCAUCCCCAGUUCAAAUUAUGCAUGCCUAAGUCAUCCAUAUAUUAUAUAUGUUUACAUGUGUAUAUUAUUAAUUUGUGGAUGGUGAUGUCUAAAAUGAUCCCAUACUUAUUAUAUACUUACUAUUUUAUAGUGGGUGUGAUACUACUUUAUAUUUCUGUUAAAUAAUGUUAAAUAAUGUUUAAUAACUAAACUCAUUAAUUAAUGAUUUACAAAUAAAUCACGUUAUUCAUGUGUAUGUUGAAAUAAUUUAUUUAUGGGUGGCUGUAUACAUACCCUGCUACCACAAACGACCAUGUGAACAAGACAUGGUUUUGAAAAACCUCGAAUAUUAUUCCUUUUUGUUAAGAGCUUUCAGAAAUAACAUACUAAUAUAAUAUUAUGGAAGAUUAGGAAACAUACUAUCAUAAAUUACCAUGACAUACUUUCUGCAAUAACAUAUUAUAAGUACUAACUAUCAUGGAGCUAGUGACCAGCGGCAGGGCUGGGAACAGACUGAUCGAGUCUCCUCUUGAUGGAUGCAAAUUGAUGAUCAACAAGGAUUUUGUCCAUAAUGAAAGCAUAAGCUCCUUCCCUAGGUGUUGUAGUUGCAUCAGGCUCCCCAACAUGGUGAUAUAGGCACACAAUUUGGUGUCCGGGAUUAGUUUGCUUUUCAUGAAUGCCCGGUGCCUUCCUGCAAUCUGUGGAAGAAAAAGAAAAGCCAACAGUAAGAAGAAAUAAAGCCAAAAAAGCUCUUGAAC